CGCGCGGCGGCUGCAGGGGGACGUGAGGCCCGUGAGGUUGAUUCCAGCGAUGUGGAGUCUCACAGACGCUGCAAGGGGCUCGUAGUAACAGCUCUGCGCUUUUCUGGAUGUUCUGAUUAGCAAGACCUGCUGGGACAGAACAGGAGACUGCAAGUGAAAGGAGGAAUGACAAAGCAACAGUGGGCCUUGAGCGAUUCUUCACCAGAGUCCCAUCAGAAAGUGCCAUUUACUCAAAGGGAGAUGGUCCAUCUAACAUCAUCCGACUGCCCCAUGGAGGAGACUUCACUAGCAACUGGUGCAAAGAAGGUAUGGGAGAGCAGAGCACUGCUGACUGUGUCUACCUGACUGUGGUAGAUGUGUGCUGUGACCUUGCUGUAUCUACUAACCCUCGCUGGCCCAGCUUCAGCGGUGUUUAUAAAGCUCUUGCUGAGACACCUCA